UAUAUGUGUGUGUAUAUAUAUGUGUGUGUGUGUGUAUAUAUAUAUAUGUGUAUAUAUAUAUAUGCAGAGAUUUGGAAGUGUGGAAGAAUAGGGGUCUGAGUGCAGUACUGGGGAGGCCCCAUACCCUAUCCUGAAAGCACAUGAGGUAUGGGAAAGUGACCACCAAGAUCCUUUGGAGGGAAAGCCAGGUAUCUUUUAAGGCAAAGAAGAGGAGGAAAGAAGAGUUUGCAGAUGUAGGCAGGAAGUUGUUUAUGAAACAGAGUGAUAGGCCGGGUGCGGUGGCUCACACCUGUAAUCCCAGCACUUUGGGAGGCCGGAGGUGGGCGGAUCACCUGAGGUCAGGAGUUUGAGACCAGCCUGGCCAACAUGGUGAAACCCAUCUCUACUAAGAAUACAAAAAUUAGCUGGGCGUGGUGGUGGGCACCUGUAAUCCCAGCUACUCAGGAGGCUGAGACUGGAGAAUCGCUUGAACCCAGGAGGCGGAGGUUGCAGUGAGUGGAAAUCAAGACAUUGCACUCCAGCCUGGGCGACAAGAGCAAAACUGUCUCAAAAAGAAAAAAAAAAAGAAAGAAAGAAACAGAAUGAUAGUGUAGUUGGAGUCAAGAGUUGACUGCUUUGAGAACUUGUCUCCAGAAAAAGGGCAUGUACUUGUGCAAAAUGUUAUAUGCAAAUUCAAAAAACAUUUAGACUUCCUAGAACCAUCUGUGGACCCUAGAUUAAGAACCCUGAUCUGGAACAGUGGCUCUCAAACUUGAGCAAACAGUUUGACAGGUCUGACGGUGUUUGACAGGUUGUUGGGCCUCACCCAGAGGUUUCAGUAACGUAGGUCUGCAUGCGGUCCAAGCAUUUGCAUUUCUAUCAAGUUCCCAGGUGAUGCUGAUGUUUCCGGCCUAGAAACCACAUUCUGAGAACCACUGCUGAAGUCUAAGGCUAAGGGGGAAAGGUUUGGGGAGAGGAAGAGGAACAGUGGGAAAUGGUUAAGGACAAGAUUAUGAAAGCAUCAUGGGGAUGAGAAUGGAUUUUUGUUUUGUUUUACUAGGCUUAGGCAGAUACUCCAAUAUUUCUGACACAUACAUACACGGAAAACCUUGCAAGAGUGGAGAAAAGAAGGGAGAGCCUCGGUGUCUGGAUGCCCAGCCUAACCAAGUCAGCUUCCCAUCUUUGGCUGAGACAAGGAGAACCCUGCUGGGCUAGGGGACCCAGAUAGUGACCAGGUUCUGCAUGUGAUUUCCCUGUGGAAUUCCAACCAAGGACAGACAGGUGAGUCACAGCACUAUGGAGAGACUUAAAUAUCUGCAAUGAGCAAAGCAAGGCUCAGCCGGGGGCAGACUCAGUCCUGCAGGAAUUGCCCUUCUUCCUGCAUGGUUUUGGGGUCAGCUGGAGAGCAAUGAGUUUGCACAUGCUGGUCAUUCACCAGAGCUGCCUGUGGGGUCUCAACAGAGUUCCACCUAGAAGGGACAGCCUGACCCUGGUUUACCUGGGAACCAGAGAAAAGCAGCUGGAAGGCUACUCUCAAGUCACCAAUACCAAGCCAGGUAGACCCUAUCCCCUACAAAUACAGGAAGCCAGUGGUCUCCAAUGGACAUUAUUACUUCAUUUUCACACAUAUUUUAUUCACUUUGACCUGGGGCUCAAAACACAGACUGCAUAUAAAAUGGGUUUGAUGCUGAUUUGGCUACAUGGACUUCAUAAUUCAUCAGAGCAGGAAAGACAGAAUCAUAAGCUGUUAUUCAUUCAUUCAACAAAUAUUUACUGAACACCAGACAGGAGAGAGGGAUUGCCUGUGUUAAUUCAUUAGGAAGAGCACAUCGUAUUAAUAAUACUUCAUGCUGUUCAGCUUUUCGUGCUGCAGCAGAAAUUAUUUAAUUACCCUUUACUUCCACCCCGGCCUCCCUACCUUCCACUACAGAGCAGUUGAAAAUGUUUUUGUUCAGUAUGGGGAAGCUUUGUAAGGUAAAGGACAGGCAGGAGAGAAAGAAUGCUCUAUUUGCAAAACAAGGCCAGGGGUGUGAGCUCUUGAAAGACAGAGCAAAGUUAUGACAGCCGGAGGAAUGUGAAUUCCUCCAACAGACCAAAUGGGAGCUUCAGAAAAAAAUUAAUCUGGUGGCAGAAUAUAUCUGGCUUCAGACUUUUAAGUAUGAAACUAGCUGCUGUGAGAAUAGGAAGCCCACACUCAGAGCUCAGCCUGCCCUCUACAGAGCAGGCAGGCGUUCCUUUCCCUGGGGACUACGAAGAAGACAAGGGCUUCCGAAGGUGUCCCACACGCAGCCUCCCUCCUUCCCCAAUUCCCCCUCCUGCUUCCACACUUAUCUCUCCCCCAGUGAGUGAUAGCCAAAUCCUCUCCACUUGCAGAUGUAGCCUUGGGAGGACAGCACAAGGGGAUGCAGCCCUGGAGCAGCAGCAGGUGUGGCCCAUCUGGACUCACCACUGCUGUGGAAAGGGGCCCCGGCCAGCUGGCCCUGUGGGCUGGAAUUAGAGCAGUCGUAAUGGGCUGUGUUACACAGUGUGCUCUUCUAAUCAGAUACAUGUGGACAUUAACUAAUUAACGGCAGCCCUGUGAGUUAAGUAUUGUGAUGAGUGAAUUUGACAGAUGAAGUACAGAGAAGUUAAAUGACUUGCUUGGGGUCACACUGCUAGCAAGGGGUGGAACAGGGAUUUGAAUCUGGGCAGUUUGCCUCCAAAGUCCUCAUAAUUAACAGUGAUCCAUUCUGCCCUCCUAUCUGACCAUUUCUCUUAUGUUAGACUCUUUUGAAUGCAAGUGACAGAAACCCAAGCUAAGGAUGCUCCAGGCAAGGAAGCAGCAUUUGCAAGGCUUGGAGACCCAAAAGAAGGAAAGCGGUCAGGGAGGGUUCUAAGUUACUGGAAAGAGAGACAGAGGGAAGUCACAGGAGGACCUUCAAUUGGGUCAGGCACAGGGAGGCAGGGGCUCACCGCCAUGGCCUGAGCUGAGGACACCAGUUGUCACUGGGGCUGGAUGUGAGGAGAGACACUAGGGGACUAAGCAUGGCCUGGAACCUGCUGCCUUCCUUGGCCCGCGCUCCUCACACCCUCCUACUCCCAACUCUCCUCUCUUUCCUCAUUUAUUAUUAUUAUUUUUAUUUUUUUGGUGGUUUUUCCAAAUCUUUUUCCUGCUGCCGACUCCCCUGAAGUCCCUGAAGAAUGAGGGCUUCACAGAAGCAGCUUUGAUCUCUUUCAGUGGCUCCCAGAGGGGCUGUCUCUGGUGCAGAUUAAGUGUGUAGUUUGACACCCAUCCCAUUAGUCCUGUUCUUUUAAUUAAACAUUCAGUAGGAGGAUGGCGCUGUGGCUGGCAUUGGGAGCCGGCAGGGGGCCACCGGGUACAUUGAAGCCUUCUUUCUUUAGUGGGAUUGCGUGCCUUGAUUCAUCUUUUUCCCCCUUUGCCACUCUCCACUUCCACCUCUGCCAGUUUUGAUGUUUGAGUUCUCCCUGAAUCCAUACAGGAUGCUGGCCAUCUCAGGGAGGAGGGCAAGGCAAGCUGGCAACUUGGCCGAGCUCCUGUUGGACUGAGUGGUUUCCUCCUCGGGCUGUUGUGUGUGAACUUGAGUGAGCCAUUCAACCUUCCUGGGUUUCUGUGUCCUAAUGCAUCAGACAGGGCGACUUGUGACUGCUCCUCCUGACCUCCUGUACAGGGAGAGGCUACAGGACAAAUGGAACCAAGAGGAGACCCAGAAGGCAGAGGCCCGAGCAGUGUGUCCCUGAGAUGCCCAGGUCAGGGCAUGCCCUACCCCUUCCCACCAGCAAAAGUUCCAGCAGCAAGGAGGUUCCAGCUGUUCCCUUGGAAUCUGUUAGGCUUCUGUGGUUGGGGGAUGGGUGCAGGGAGGAGAGAAGAGACUGGAGAUGAUGCAGUGGCAGAGCAGGGGGUGGUGGGGUGAAGGCUGUGGGCCCACAAACUUGCUUAUAUGUACAAGGCUGCAAUGAAUGCAGCCUCUCCUUCCCUCCCCUCCAGCUAGCUGGAGUGCUAACUGGGGUGGACAGACAGGUUGGUUUGGGAGCAGGCGGCAGAGAGGAGAUGGGCAGAGCCGGGAGCAGGAGGAUGGGCCAGAUAACCCUGGGACCUUUGUUCUAUGACAGGCAAGUCAGCAGGAUGUCAGGCCUGGCUUGAUCUUACACCCCUCGACUGAAUGCCCGGGAGUCCCUGAGCGUUGGGGCAGGAGGAGCCUUAGAGACUGUAAGGACAGUGUAACCGCCUAGUGGGUUCACCUUCCCUGCUGCCUAGACAGGGGAAUUACAGUGAAGAAACAGUAAUUCAUGCAGAGCCAGCUGUGCGGGAGACCGGAGUUUUAUUAUUACUCAAAUUAGUCUCCCCAAGCAUUUGAGCAUUCAGGGAUCAGAGUUUUUAAAGAUAAUUCAGUGGGUAGGGGCUUGGGAAGUGGUCAGUGCUGACUGGUCAGGUUAGAGAUGGAAUCAUAGGGGGUCGGAGUGAGGUUUUCUUGCUGUUUUCUGUUCCUGGGUGGGAUGGCAGAACUGGUGAAGCCAGAUUACUGGUCUUGGUGGUGUCAGCUGAUCCAUCGAGUGCAGGGUCUGCAAAAUAUCUCAAGCACUGAUCUUAGGUUUUACAAUAGUGAUGUUAUUCCCAGGAACAAUUUGGGGAGGUUCAGACUCUUGGAGCCAUAGGCGACAUGACCCCUAAACUGUAAUUUCUAAUCUUGUAGCUAAUUUGUUAGUCCUACAAAGGCAGACUGGUCCCUAGGCAAGAAGGGGCCCCUCUGGGCACCCAGCCUAUUAGAUGGUAACUAUGCAGAGAGGAAAGGGCAGACUUAGUCCGGGUUCUGCCCCUCGUGCACUAUGUGCCCUUGGCCAAAACACUUCCCUUCUCUGGGCCUGGUUUCCUCAUCUGGGGUAACUAUACCUGCCUUCUUGUGCCUCAUGGGGUCAGAGGCUAAAAUGAGGUCAUUCUCUCUUUUCUGGACAUUUAUAAUUUAAUUACAACUAGUUCUUGACCCUGAGAGAUUCUUAAAUGUGUCUAUAAAAUUUAGAAGGUCUGAGUUUUACUAACCUGCAUCAUUUUUCUGGGAUCCCAGGAUUCCCAGACCAGAGGGUGGGGCAGGGCCCUGUGAUAUGUCUAACACACCCAUGAGGCCUAGAGUGCACCCACCACUGGCUGCAAAGCACUGCAGCUUUAUAGGUCCUAGAGCGAAAAAUGGUUUACAUUUAUUGAAGGCUUUUAAAAGAAUGUUCCAGGUUCUCCAUAUCUGUUGUUUCAUUGAAGUGUCACCAUCUCAUUAAUGGCUAUUGUCCUCAUUUUAUUUACGUUAUGUUUUUGUUUUUUUUGAGGCAGGAUCUCACUCUUGUCACCCAGGCUAGGAUGCAGUGGCACUGUUACAGCUCACUGCAACCUCGACCUCCCGGGCUCCUCAAUUCUCCCACCUCAGCCUCCCAAGUAGCUGGGACCACAGGCAUGUGCCACCGCACCUGGCUAAAUGUUUGAUUUUGUAUGUAAACAAGGUCUUGCUAUGUUGCCCAGGCUGGUCUUGAACUCCUGGCCUUAAGCGAUCCUCCUCCCGCUUCAGCCUCCCAAGGUGCUGGAAUUACAGGCGUGAGCCACUGCACCUGGCUUGGCCUCAUUUUAUACACGAGAAAUUUGGGGCCUGGAUAAAGUGUAAUUAUGUCUUCACACAACUGGCAAGUGGCAGAGCCAAGACUCAAACCAGGGUUUGGGGGGCUCCAAAUCCCUCAGCCUCUGCUGCCUUGAGGCCUUGGCCAGAUGGAGUUGUAGCAGGCGUGACCCUGCGGGUGCCUCAGAUCAAGGACUCCCCAGGUUUGCCAGGUGGUGGCCUCAGAGAAGCCCAGGGAGCUGCUGGCCCCUCCUGAGAGGCUAGGGGCAGGACACAAGCUCUCUUGAGUCCUCCCAAAGCUGAAGGAAGAGACGAAGUGAAGGGCCCAGGGCUGCAGAGAGGCUGGACAAGGCAGAGCUCAAGUCAGCUCCUCCUUUAGGAGCCUCCUGAAGCCCCUGGGGAGCUGUCCCUGACUGUACUUCUGCAACAGGUAGCCUGGCCUCUUUUAGGGCACAUACAUAUGUUACUACAUUUAUGUUAUUGUCAUCUGCAGGUCGUAAAAUUCCACUAGGGGUUCUCCCUUAUUCCCUUGAAAAGUCCUUGAGAGCAGAGACCCUAUUAUGUGUUGCCCUAGGUACCAGGUAGAGGCCUUUCAAAGAUUAGUAGGUGAUCAAUGAAUAUUGUUGAGUGAGCUAUUAAUAAUGAUUAUUUCUAAGACCAUAAAAGGUGACUUCAUAUACAUGAUCUUAUUUCCUCAUUCAUUCAAAUCCGUGUACAUUUGCUGGGCUUACGAUAAUAUGCCUGGACUUUGCUAGAUUCUGGGCAUGCAAUGACAAAUUAGACACCCUGUCUGUGCCCAAGAAACUUAUGUCAGGGUGGGGAGAGUGCAGGAAAAAGACUGAAAAAGACAAAACAAAACCAAAAAUGAAAGCACAGAAAAUUUGCAGUAUGUGCAGCCAGCAGUCAACGGGUGCUGGUGAAACCGAGAGGAGGAGGCUCCAGCCCAGCCUGGAUCAGGGGAGGCUCCCAGGGGAGAGGAAGAAGGGUUGGGCUUUGUGUGCCAGGAAGGAGGGGGUGAAGGGGAGGGGAUGGGGGCUCUGGAGGCAGGGGAGCCUGUGGGAGAUGGGACAUGUUCAAUAGCUCAGUCCAGCAGUGCAGAGGGGAGUUUUGAGAAAUGAAACAGGAAGAGGGAAGAAUGGAAACCACACCUUUUAUUGGAACAUAGAGUGCUUUGUAUUUCUCAAAACACUUUCACAUCUAUUAUCUCCAGUUAGCCUAAAAACAACAGCAGAAGCAGCAGCAACAACGAUGCUGAGUGCUGACUGCGAGCCUGGCUUCCUCGGAGGGAGUUUACCGUGCGCUGCCUCCUUGGACCCUCAUCACUGCCCUGCGAAGCAAGCACUUUCCUCACCCCCUCUGUCUGGAGGAGGGCACUGAGGCACCGAGAAAACUGGGCAGGGGAGGCCCGAGAAGGAGAGGGUGGCACCGUCAUUCUCACUUUCCAGCUGAGGACACGGGUAAGUGGCAUGCGUCCGCUCCUGUGACUUACAGGAGUCCCGGGACUCGCACUCGGGCCUCUGGACUCCUAGCCUGGUGUUUUCCCCUGGAAGUUUCUGAACCAAAAAAAAAAAAUGUCUGAACCAAAGCACACAACGAGAUUGUGAGUGGAAAUCAGCUUCAGCUUCCCUGGUGUUUCUCCACGGUGAUCCUCUGUGUCUGUCACUGAAGGGGCCAGGAUGUCACCACCAACGGUAAUGACCUGGGCUUUGAGUGGAGCAUUUAACCUGUUCAGCCAGCUGUUGGAAGUGCAGAAACUAGUCCCUCCCAGUCACAAACUACCCCGGUUGCUCCACCAUCUGCAUCCAGCUUCAUUACUUAAUUCACUUUGCAAAGUUAAUCCAGUGAUCCAAGCUCCUAAUAGUCCCCAGUUUGACUUCCGCAGCUUCCCUUUCUCUCCACACCCAGCCUAUCCCGGGCUUCUGGGUCACCAAGAAGCAGGACCCUUUCUGUUGAUUUCUUCUGGGAGGAGGCCAUCUCAAUAGCCCUUUACAACAACCCAUGAGGUCUCCUGAUUUCCGUGUUUUCUUGGAGUCCCCUGAGCUUUGGUUUGCAGCACAAGCUCAUUCCCCUCUGUGCUCCCCUCUCACUGUGUGGAACCUUCUCUAAUAGACUCACCUCUGGGGAGAGGACGUGCUCCUUUCUGGCCGCAGCUGCAGCCAUUCCAAUGUACAUCAAAGCGCUCGUCUUUCUAUCUCCACUUCUUAAAUGGUUUUGCUUUUUCUCUAUUUCUUCCUUCUCAUGGGCAGCUCAGAGCUCAUCUGUGACAGUGACCACCCUUCUGCCCCAGCCCUGGCCCCACGACCUUCCCUAACACUGCAAACAACUUCACUCUUGGCCUCCUGCUGGAUAUCUGAUGGUUUCUAUAACAGUGAAUUUGCAAAUAGUUGGAACCUCUGAAGUGCUUCCUCUCCUGGACUGGAAACCCCUUGAGGAUGUGUACGGCACCCGCAUCCCCUCCAUCUGCACCCGCAGCCACAGCCACAGCCACAGCCAGCGCUAUGUCCCGUUGCCAUUCACAUUCAUACCUGCAACGUACACUCAUACAUGUGUCGGAUAUUUGCGAAGAAGCUCCCUUUCCCACCUAGAGAUGGGAUCUUGCUCUGUUGUUCAGGUGGUGGUUUCAAACUCCUGGCCUCAAGUGAUCCUCCUGCCUUGGCCUCCCAAAGCGCUGGGAUUACAGGUGUGAGCCGCUGUGCCCAGGCCAAUCCCAGAGAUUUUGAUGAUUUCUCGAUACGAGUUUCACGAAGACUUGAAAAGAAUGUGUCCUCUGUUGUUGGAUGGAGUGUCCUUGAAAUGUUCAUUAGGUAAGUUGGUUGAUAGCAUUCAAAUCUUCUAUAUCCUUGCUAAUUUUCUGACUACUUGUUCUAUCAACUAUUGAGAGAGGAUAUUAAAAUCUCUGACUAUAAUUAAGAGUUGGGUUUGUCCAUUUCUCCUUGCAGUUCUAUCAGUUUUUGCUUCAUGUAUUUUGGAGCUCUGGUAAAAAGUAUGUAAAUGCUUAGAAUAGGUAUACAAUAAAGAACUAUUCAGCCUAAUUAUUAAUUGAGAAAGUUGAGAAACCAGGGUCUAGGGCUAAUUAUUAGCCACUACAAAAGCAAGACUCUUGUAUGUACUUUAUCUAAUGCCCCAUGAAUUAUGGGACUUUCUAGUCUGGCCUGUAGGAACAGGCACCAUUCCUAGCUUGUGUGAGUGUUGAGCACUGUUCCCUUUCAUUAUUAUUAUUAUUAUUAUCAUCAUUAUUAUUAUUAUUAUUAUUUUGAGACAGGGUCUGGCUCUGUCGCCCAGGUGGGUGUGCAGUGGUGCAAUCAUCACUGCAGCCUCGACCUCCUGGUCUUGAGCCUCCUCCCACCUCAGCCUCCCAAGUGGUUGGGACUACAAGUGUGCGCCACUGUGCCUGGCUAAACUUUCAUCCUUUUUUUUCUUCUUUCUUUUUUUUGAGAUGGAGUCUCACUCUGUCACCCAGGCUGGAGUGCACUGGUGAGAUCUUGGCUCACUGCAACCUCUGCCUCCCGAGUUCAAGCGAUUCUCCUGCCUCAGGCUCCCAAGUAGCUGGGACUACAGGUAUAGUUCAGCUUAUUUUUGUAAUUUUAGCAGAGACGGGGUUUCACCAUGUUGGCCAGGCUGGUCUCAAACUCCUGACCUCAGGUGAUCUGCCUGCCUCAGCCUCCCAAAGUGCUGGAAUUACAGGUGUGAGCCAUCACGCCCGGCAAACUUUCAUCCUUCCAGAUGAUUCUUUCCCCAGCCUCGCAUAGAUUCCUGACCUACAUGUGCUGAUUGGUACUCAGCUGAAUACAUAAGGUGGGGACUGUCUCUUUAGAUCUCCAGGAUUCUCUCUCUGUGCAGUGCUUUCCUCUCCAGUUUUCUUUCCUGUGAAUUCUAGCUGCCUUGUAGCUAGAAUCUCAGCAUUGUCUCCUCCACUCGGGGAAUCCAUCAGGCCUCACGUGGGCCCCUCCUCCCUACCUGGAAGGGGGCCUGGAAACUCCCUUAAGACAGUAAGCUGGGGCAAUCACAGGAGUGACCUUGUUUCUUUCCCAUCUCUCAGGGAUUAUUGCCUUUCAUUAUCUGGUACACUGUAUCUUAUAAAUGGUUGUUUCACAGAUUUUGUCGCUUUUGGUUGUUUUAGGUGGGAGGGUAAAUCCUGUCUCUGUUACUCCAUUUUGGUGGAAGGUCAGUCUCUUUGGAUUUGGUAGACCAAUUUUCAGAUGCUGUGUGGAACUUGGGGCAAACCCAAUAGGAGAAUCCCAGUGGAGAUCCUGAGGCUUUGUUUCUUUUUUUUUUUUUUUUUUUUUUUUUGAGAUGGAGUCUCGCUCUGUCGCCCAGGCUGUAGUGCAGUGGCGCAAUCUCAGCUCACUGUAACCUCUGACUCCCGGGUUCAAGCAAUUCUCCAGCCUCGGCCUCCUGAGUAGCUGGGACUACAGGCACGUGCCACCACACCCAGCUAAUUUUUUUUUAUGUUUUUAGUAGAGACAGGGUUUCACCAUAUUGGCCAGGCUGGUCUCAAACUCCUGACCUUGUGUUUCACCCACCUCGGCCUCCCAAAGUGCUGGGAUUACAGGCGUGAGCCAUCAUGCCCAGCCUGUUUCUUUCUUUCUUUAUUUUUUUUAUUGCCUAUUCUGCUCGUGUAGAAAUCCCGAGGCUUUGGAAGCAAGGACAUACUCUCUUUCUCAGGUGAUUAUUCUCCUUUUAAUAAGUAGUUUAGGCUUUUUAUUGGCCCUAAUAAACUGAACCCCUGACCGUUGGACACCACAUCAGCAUGCAACCCAAGCUACUGCUCAUCAUGAACCAUGCCAUGAAUUCAGGCAUGUCCGGCCACACUCCAUAAUCAAGUGCAAGUGAUAUGAGUGGGACUGGGCCAAGCAGGUACCAAUGGCUGGUGUAAAUGGGAUGAGCUACUCACUUAAGCUCCAGUGUGCCUACUUCUGCUGCUCUGCUGCCUCUCCCUCAAUCUGCAUCUAUGGCUGCAUGCAGAGUUGACUGAGGAGGAAAACACCCAUGACUGCUUUGCAAAACUCUUCAUGAUAUGUUCGUCCCCACUCAAAGUAAACUGCUCUAGCCUUCUAGCUCCAUUCAGAAGAGCCUCCGAAGUAGAGACCAGAAAUCCUUCUAGUGGGCUGUGCUUUGAGCAGUACUGCUUGUUGACUGCUUUACUUGGAAGGAGAGAUCGACUGAGGUAAGGCUCUUACUAAUGCACGUGCUUUGCUAAUGGUUUGGCCAGAUGAUCAAAAAUGUGGAAGGGGUAAGAUUCAAGGAUUGGUGACAAGGAAGUUUAGAAUAACAGAGAUGUGGAUGGGCCUCCUAGAAUGACCAAAGAAUAUGAGAAUAUUUAUGUUUCAUGUGAACAUUCAUCAAGCUCCUAUUGGUAGUCAGGUAGACAGGUAGACAAGGUGGUCUACUUUGAGGAUGCUGAUUAAUCUCUUCCUCCAGUGACGCAGGGUUUGCUCAGUGGGCUCAUGGACAGAGUGGCCCUGAUGGCUCAGUGGAGGGCUUGGUAUAGGCUUAGCCACAUGGACUCACCAAGACUAACCUGGUUACAGCCGUUGUUGAAUGCCCAACAUUCUACAGCAGAAACCAACCCUGAGCUCCUGACUUGGUGCCAUACCGUGGGGGGACCAACCUGCUGCUUCAGGCCCGGUUGGUUAUUUGAGAUUCCACUCAUGGAAGAGUUAUGCUUUGUCCUUCUGAAACAUACACUCCUUGUGGAAUGACGAUCUCUGCCAACCAGUCAUUUUUGUAAUGAUGGGGCCAGCCUGCAGACCAAUUUUUGUUACCUUUUUUUUUUCUGCCCAAGGAAUAGAUAUAUGGUACACCAGGCUGUGACAGAUAGAUCUUGCUGCAAUGGGCUUAUCAUCAAAAGGGUCCAGAGACAGCCUGUGAAGUGGUACAUGAUCCAGAGUCAGCUACAGGAAGAAAUGAAUAACCAAGUCUUGACACAUUCAUGCUUUGCACGGGGCUGUGUUUGUCAUGCUGAUGAGGGCAUGGCAGUGUGGCAGUGUGUGCGUGCGCACAUGUGUGUUGCAUGCCAACAUUUCAUCUUUCUGAUCAGCUGGGUGCGGUUUUUUUUUUUUUUUUUUUUUUUUUUUUUUUUAGACGGAGUUUCACUCUUGUUGCCCAGGCUGGCAUGCAGUGGCACGACCUCUGCUUACUGCAACCUCUGCCUCCCGGGUUCAAGUGAUUCUCCUGCCUCAGCCUCCUGAGUAGCUGGGAUUACAGGCGCCUAUGACCAUGCCCAGCUGCUUUUUUGUAUUUGUAGUAGAGACAGGGUUUCACCAUGUUGGCCAGGCUGGUCUCGAACUCCUGAUCUCAGGUGAUCCACCCGCCUUGGCCUCCCAAAGUGCUGGGAUUACAGUGUGAGCCACCGCACCCCGGCCUGGGGAUGGCUUUAAGGCAAGGAAUGAGUGAGGUAGUGAGGCAGUCUCUGACCCCUUGUCUAUUCAGGGUCCAGCAUACAUUCUGUCACAGGGGUAGUUUCAUUUGUUGGAUGAGGAAAAGAAAAAAAAAGAAAGAAUGAAUGUAUAUGUCCUUUGAGUCAGAUGGGACCACAGAGAUUAUCUAGUUCCUCCUCAACCACUGUGGGAGUCUCUUUGUUGAUAUCCCCGACUGGUAGCCACCUAACUUCUGCUUUUUAUUUGUAAUAAUAGUUAGUGUGAGGCACUCCAGUUUAUAUGCUUUAAUCUCAUAUAAGCCUCAAAACCUGAGGAGGUAUUACUACAUUUAUGUGCCAACGAAGAAACUGAAUUUCCGGUAACUUCCUCAAAGUCACACAAUUAGUAAAUGACAGAGCCAGGAAUUGAAGCCAGGUAUAUCUGACUCUAUAGCUUAAGCUCUUAAGCACUGUGCUGUACUGUCUUAAUAAAUACUGUGACAGAGCUCUCACCACCUCACAAGACACCCUGUGUUAUCGUUAGCCAGCUUUGGCUGUUAGAAAAUUUUCUUCCAUUGAGUUGAAACCUCCCUGUAACUCACAUACACUGUUCUAAAUGUCUCCUUUCAAACCUCUGAGAAGGAUUCCCCUCCCCAAUUCCAUGUGACAUUCCUACACUGUCUAAGGAUGGCUCUCUUCCAUCAAGGAUGGAAGAAUCCUAUCUAGUAGACCUGUAUGCUAAGAACCCUUGCUGAAGGAACUCAAGUUUACCAAUGUCCUUAGUAUUUGGCUCUCAGGCUAUGGAAGGCGAAGGUGGACCAGUGCAGAACGUUUCAGUACCAUUACCUCCUGUGUAGACACUGCACUGUUAUUAAUACCAUUUCACCUCGCGUUAGCAUUUUUGGCAAGAGGAGUUAUUCCACUGCUUGGCUGAAUGACUGUGGAGCUUAGCUCAGAGCAGGAAAUAAUAUGAGAGGGCAAGAACAGCAGGCUCCCCUGGGUCUGGCCGGAGUCAUGUGUGAUUAUGGUCUCUGAGUCUAAGUGCUGGGGCAGUGAGGGAGGUGAGGGAGGUAGUGCACGAACUGGGGGCUGCUCCUGGUUUGUGGGGUGAUGCUUGACAAUCGUUUCUUCUAGAGGGGAGCUGCAGUCUGGGGGGCAUGUACACGUGUGUGUGUGCAUGUACUGGCAUGUCUGUGUGUGUGUGUGUGUGUGAUGGAGCAGGGUCAGUUCCUAGAACAGCUGUGGAGCACCUGUCUUAGCCUCACCUAUCUGGGCCUUUCUGUUCUCACUUUGGGUGUGACUGAAUUUCAUUUCACUGGGAAAACCGUCUUGCAGACCGAACUAACUCUGCGCACGAGAUGGCUCCCGGAUCCUCCCCCAUUAUUCUGAGCCCCAGUGCAAAGAGAUAGAUAAGGAGGCUGCACCUACCUGGAUGCCCAGCAGGUCCAAAAGGCCAGCUCUGGCAGCCUGCAGCACGCCUGUGAGGACUCACCUGAGCCCCAGGCCUCUGCGCUGCCCGGGCUUGUCCCCCCAAGCCUGUGCGUGUGCGCUGGGGGUUACUGCUCUCCUCCCAUGGAAAUGGCCUUGGAUUUCCUCUAAUUAAGACUUAACAUGGCUCCUGACAGACAGGAAGAAUGAGGGUGAGAGGUCCUGGAUACUUUAUCUGACUUUCCUAAGUCCCAAAAUAGGGAAGGGAAGGGGAGUCAAAGUGUAUUCGGGGGACGACGGGACGGUGGGCGCAGAGGAAGGAUGGGUGGGGCUCUGCUCUUCCUCAGCCGCCACCUUGCUCUGUCACGUCCCUCUUUUCUGAGGGACCCAGAGUGGCCAUUGCGAGAGGGAGUCUGAAGAGCUACAGUCCUCAGAGACCUUCAGAGACUCCAGCUGGGCCUCCCCGCCUGGAGGAGGGAAGGGAAGUUCUGUGUUCUUUCUCAUCACAGGCAUUUGUGCUCCCGAAGCAUCAUAGCUCUGCAGCCUGGUGUUUUGCCUGUAACUGGAGAAAUGCUUGCUGCAAAGCAAUUUUAUGUGUGGUAGUAGAAAGAGGCUGAGAUUCCAGUCUCAGCUGUGUGACCGUGGGUAGAUCACCUAACCUCUCUGAGCCUCAUAUUUCCCAUCUGCCAACUGCAGAGACAAAUACUGCUCUGCUCACCUCACGGGAUUGUGGUGUGGAUGGGAAAAGCCUCUGUGAAUGGCUUUCCAAAUGUGGGGGCUGUAGGGACGAGGAUGACUACAGUGGUGGUGAUGAGCAUGUUAGCACUGACAUGCCAGUUUGCCAGCGGGUGGUGGGCUGGGAGCUUACCUUUUGUUACCACGGCUUGCAUUCAGAGUUGUCAGUUUUAAUGGCUAUUGUGGGAGACAGGGUCCUUUAGAAAAGGACACGACGAUGAGGCUGGCGCCAGGUCAGGAGUAAUUAAGAGCAUGUAUAUGUGCAUACCUGCAUUUUUUUUGAGGGGAGUGGGCUGGGAGUACCUUCGAUGCUAGAUAAAUCUGGCCAGACUCCAGCCCUGGCCAGGCCACCUGGCCACCUCUAGUCUAGGCCCUUUGGCAUCAGAGAACCCUGACUUACAUGAUUACUAUGAAAUUUGUAACCAUCUCGCUCCCUUCUCCUCAAUGGCACAGAAAGGACUUGCUAUGCUCUGCCACGGUGGGACUGCAGGGCCUGGAAGUCCAGAGAAGGAUGGACUUGAAUUUCCCAGCUGGCUCCAGCCUAAGAGGACACUGGGCAGCAACAUUUUCUUUCUAAACUGAAAGGUCUCCUUUAUGUUCUGGGAUCUCUGAUCCAGCGAUCCCAGUCUAUCCCCGGGUCAUGGGUAAUGCCUGAGGUUGGCCACCAGGGCAGGGAGGGACCCAGCAGACAUCUGGGACUAGGGCAAGCAUCUUGGACUUCCAUUCCAACAUUGCCCCUGGCUAGCUGGGUAGCAAAGGUCCACAUUUCACCCACCUGCCAUGGGAGAGGUUGGUGCUAGAGGGGAGAGAGGGCUUGGGCUCGGGAAUACGAUAGACUCUGGUUUGAAUCCUGGACCUGGCACUGGGUAAAUCACAUAAACUUUCUGGACCUCUGUUUCUUUGUCUAAAUGUGAGGUUAAAACUCUUGACCACGGCACAGAGGAUGUUUCGGGCAGUGAAAGUACUCUGUAGGAUACUGUAAUUAAUGGUCGAUACAUGUCAUUAUACAUUUAUCCAAACCCACAGAAUGUAUAACAUCAAGAGCUGCCCUAAUGUGAACUGGAGACUUCGAGUGACAACAAUGUGCCCAUGUAGGUCAUUGAUUGUAACAAAUGGAUCACUGUGGUGGGGCACGGGGGAGGCUGUGAGCAUGAGGGCAGGGCUGUGUGGGAACUCUCUGUACCAUCUGUUCCAUUUUGCCCUGAGCCUAAAACUGCUCUAAAAAGUAAAGUCCAUUAAAAAACAAACAAACAAACACAAAGCAAAAUAAAACAAGAUCAUGAAUUAUUCGUGAAUCAUGAAUUCAGAAUUAUACUUAGUCUUCUUGUAAAACAUAAUUUUGUAUACUGCUUUAGAUGACACAAACGACUCCCUACCUCCUGGGAUUUUUGGGAGGAUUGAGGAUAAUGUGUCAUAAACAAUGUAAUAAUGGGGGCAAUAAUAAUAAUAAUCCAUAAUAGUAGCUCUAGUUGUACAGAGACCCCUGCCCACCCCUCCCAUCCUCUCCUGGACGGCAUGGGAGUGAAAGGGCUAAUAGAUGUGGAAAUUCUUUGGGCUUCCGCAUGCUGUUUUUAGUUAAAAUGACAUGACAAUAGUACUUACAUAAAAUUUUCUAAUCCUUUGUGUCCCUAGAAUAUGAAGCUCUGGUGCCCUGGGGUGAGCACGAGCACUUCUAGAGGCAGGCUUUCCUCCCCUCCUCUCCCCUGAAUCAUUGCUCUUCCCGUCUGAAUGUUCCCAGUUCAGGGACUUGCUGUUUAUCAGCCACAGGAAAAGAUUCAGGAUGCAAUAGGGUAGAUUUUUGUCUUGCUAAGUCUCCAUGCUCCACAGGGAAUGGCCAAUUAGAGUCCAGCCCAGACUCAUACAUCACUGUCACACCUGGCUCCUUGGGCCUGGGGGCCGGGCCGGCUCCCAGGGAGGCAUCCAUAGAUCAUAGCCAUCUCCUAGCAAGAGGAAGAGGAGGUGUGGGUGGGGUGGUGGGAGGUGGUGAGGUCUGGAGGGGGCAGAACAUGAUCUUUGGUCGGAAGCUGGAACGUCAGGGAGGGGCUUGAAGAAACCAUGAAUUCUUCAUUACUAAGUGCCUUGUGGCAGGGUAAAGCCAGAUAAAUUUAAAUAUGCCCAUCACCCAGAGCUUUAGAGCAGUUUUCCAAAGAAACUCAAGGGUUUGUGUUUCAUUUGUGUGGUCCCUGCCCCUUUUUUCCCCUACCCUUAUUAUCCAUAAUUCUGGGGAGGCACUAAAAGCAAAGAAAGAAAUCAAAAGCUCUGGCUGAUUUUUAACUUGAUAUGGUGGCAGGUUAGAGCCCUCUGUGGUUGUGUGGGUGCGGGGCGGGGGGGUAGGAGUCUGAUGCCCACCCACCACUCCCAGGUCUCAUCAUCCUCAUGGUUCAGUCCUUCACACAUUCACUCAUUCAUUCACUCUUCAAAAAGCUUUUAAUAAACACCUACACUGAACCAGGCCAUGUUCUGGGUGCUAGGGAAAGAAGUGGACAAGACUCUGCUCUCUUCAUGGAACCGAGUAUUCUAAGGACACAGCCAAGUCAGGAGACUACACCCCUAGUAUAAUAAGUCCUGUGGCUGUACUGAGAAGAGGUCCUGACUCAGAACUGGAGGACAUCAUGGAAGGCUUCCUGGAGGAAGUGCCAUCUAGGCUGAAACCUAAAGGAUGAGUAGAACUAACCAGAUGAAAAGCACUGGAUUUGACUCAUCCCUGCAUCCCCCGAGCACCUCGUGGGUGCCGUAAAGGCAGCUGGGUUGAUGAUGACUGAGUGAAGGAGCGCCUGAGUGGAUGAGCCACUGAGUGAAUGAACUGGAGUUCAUCUUCCACGUGGUCCUCAGCAUCCACUCUAGAAGCCAAAGCCAAGGGCACUGAUGGAGCUUACAAAUGUGAUGGCGGAGGCUUGAUCUACAUGAACUACUUUGCAUAAGUACUUUGAAGAAUCAUGGGGAAACGGAGAGGAGUCAGAAGACUGCAAAAGAGCAAAUGUGGCUUCAAUUUUCAAAAACAGGAUAAAGGAUAGAUUUAGAAAGUACAAAGGUGCAUUUAGUGUCCAUCCUGGCAAAAUUCUAGAGGAAAUUAUUUAACCGAGGUGACAAUCCUGGUAGCCUCUUAUCUGGCCUCUUCACUUCUGCACUUGCCCACCCCAGACUCCCAUGCUCUGUUCUCAGUCUAGCGACCAGAGGGUUCCCUUUAAGUCAAAUCAUGCCAUGUCUGCUCAGAACUCUCCAGGGGCUCCCCUUCUUACUGAAAGGAAAAGCCAGUCCUUCCAGUGGUCUACAGGGCCCAACACCACCACCUGCUGCUUCUCUGACAGCAGGUCUCAUGGGUAUUUUUCCUCCACCCCCUCUUGCUCGGGGCACGCUAGCCUCCUUGCUCUUGGCCUUCACCCUUGCCAUUCUCUCUGCCUGGAUCACUCUUCCUCCAGACAACUGCUUAGUUCACUCCCCCAUGUCUUUGCUGAAAUGUUACCUUCUCAGUGAGGCCUUUUAUGGCCACCCUAUCAAGGCCCCACUUAUCUUUCUUGACAUUUUUUUCUCCUUAAUACUCAUCCCCAUUCAACAUAUUACAUAUUUUUACUUACUUCUCCUGUUCAUUAGCUUUCUCCCCUUACUAAAAUGCAAGGUCUCCAGCCUCUGGGACUUUUGUUUGUAUCCUUAGUUCAUAGAACAGCACCUGUCGCAUGGUCCUCUUUACUAAAUAUUUGUUGAUUGCAAGGGAGGGAGGAAGAUGGCUUGGGUAGACUUAGAGUUCACUAGACAAGGUGACCAACCAUCCCAGUUUCCCCAGGACAGAGAGAGUUCCUGAAACAUGGGACUUUCAAUGCUAAGAUCAGGAGAAUCCCAACUGGUCCCCUACACUAGACCAGCCGUUCUUCUCUACUUCUGUGAUACGGUGAUUAGACUGAUGGUUCCCAGGAAUGCUACACACUCAUUACAUCCUCAUCUCAGCUCAGCCUCUCACAAAGUCUGUCUUGAUAACCCUACAGAUGAGAUGCAGAAAUACAGGCUGCAAGAUAGUGUAUUUGGGUGGUUUGUAGCUAGCUGAGCGGCCACACCAGACAUGUUGAUGAAUGGACCCAUGGCAGGCUGGCGGGAAGGCUGCAGUGGUGAGCCACAGAACUGUCUCUGGGCCCAGUUCUGCUCUGUGACCUAUCUGAGCCAUGCAUGCGGACACAGAAGGCAGGAUUGAAUUUGCUAGUGCACUAGGGAGGGAAAACUAAUACACUCAACAAAUUGGGUUAGGUUUUGAAAUCAUUUCAAUAGAAAAAAAUGAUAAGCCAUCAGCUUAAACAGAAGUAAGUAUCAUUUUCUUUCUUUCUUCUUUCUUUUUUGAGAAGCAGUCUUGCUGUGUUGCCCAGGCUGGAGUGCAGUGGCACAGUCUCGGCUCACUGUAACCUCCGCCUCCCAGGUUCCAGCGAUUCUCCUGGCUCAGCCUCCCGAGUAGCUGGGAUUACAGGUGCCUGCCACCACGCCCGGCUAAUUUUUUUGUAUUUUUACUAGAGAUGGGGUUUCACCAUAUUGCCAGGCUGGUCUCGAACUCCUGACCUCAGGUGAUCCACCCCCCCUCGGCCUCCCAAAGUGCUGGGAUUACAGGCAUGAGCCACCACUCCUGGCUGUAAGUAUUAUUUCCUAUUUAGGAUUAAAAGAAAAAAAAGCAAUCUGAAAUGUACAGAAGACACCAGGCUUAAUAGCUGUUUUGUUUUAAACCCAGUACAUUUAGUUGCCCACAUGCCUGGUCUAGUGUUGAAGCUAAGACUUCAGAUGUUACCUGUUAGGCUGUGUUAAUGGACACAUAGAGCCAGAGGAGGGCAGGGGAUAGUCCCACUGUCCUUCCUCCUGCUCGAAACACACCAGAGCCACAUGUCCAGCUCUGUACCAGGGGAGGGGCUGCUCAUGUUCAGCUGCUCCAUUUCUGGCUAUUCCAGGACACAGCAACCCACCGAGUGCCUUGUCCUCACUCUCUCCAACUGGGGAGUGCCCCUGCGGUGUCAUCUCUCUUUACAGAAGAGAUGCCAUGAGCUACUUUCCUUUCCCCACCUCACCUAACUUCUCUGCUGUAGCCUAACAGUCCAGGACCUGGGGAUUCAGGUGAGACACAGAUUAAGUCCCCAUAACUGACAUUUUCUUCUGAGAAGAAAGCAUUCACAUUCAAGGACUUGAGCAGCUCUGAGCCCCAUGGCAGCUGAGAUGCCACAGUGCGUCAAGUACAGGCACAUGGCAUCUGGGAGGCAGAGCUACAUCCUCUGGGUUGGAUGAUUUCUGCCUUUCCCCAGGGGUUCACAGCUUGCAAUCAUUCUGUAACUGAGGAGUCUGGUGGAAAUGGGGGUAGCAAAGAGAUCAGAGCAGGCAAAUGGUCCUCUGGGGCUGGGAACACUCCCUCUUUCUACCUUCCAACUGCAGGCACAUGUACGUGUCUUUUCAGCCUGAGGGAUCUAAAGCCUUGGGACUUCUGGAUCUGCAAGUGGUCCCUGUUUUGGUAGCUAUUGACUGACGAGGGGCUCUUCGGUAAGUUCUGGGGUGGCAGUGGAGGUGAUGAUGGGAGGGUGUUACAGGGCUCCACAGGCUCUUACAGGGCUCGGGAGCUUAUUUAAGGGAACACCUUGAUUGUCCAUGUGUCGUGGGCCAGAGAAGAAAGGCAGCACUGUGGAUCUUCUGGGAGGAAAGGAGAGGCGUCGAUUUCUGACUCCAGUUUUCUAUGAUCAGCACAGACUCUGUCCCACCUCCUCCCUACAGAGCUUCUGGAUCCUGGAGGAUGGAGAAUAGGCUAAAUUGCACAGGCCAGCUCCAGUCCAUUGGCAGGGCUGCCUAGAACAUGGCUGUGAUGAUCCCAAAGCUCAAUAGCAGAGAACCCUGUGGGGUGCUAGGAGUGUCUGCCAGGGUGCCGCAGGGAAAGGGGAGCAUGUGUGUAGAUGUAGAAAGCAUCUCUGCCAUCCCCUCCCCUAAAGAAUAUAUAACAUGGCCAUGCAGAAAAACACUUGUGAAAGGAGCUGCUGCCCUCAGGACAGCGUGUCAUUGAAAUGGGGGCUGAGCAACCCGUCAGAAGAGUGGGGAGGAGGGACCAUCCUCCAGCCCCUUCCCAGCUCUCUUCUGGAGCCAUAAGCCACAACACUGUCUAUGAAAAAGCUGAGGCCUAGAGCAGAAGGAGUGCAAAAUCCCAGCUACUGCAGGCCUACGCCCAGUGGUUCUCAAAGUGUUGUCCUCAGUCUAGCAGCAUCAGUGUCACCUGAAAACUGGUUAGACAUCCAGGUUCUCAGUUGUUAUCCAGCUCUAGCAGAUGGGAAACGCUGGGGGCGGGACCAGCCAUCUGUGUUUAACAAGCCCCACAGGUGACUGCUGUAGCCUUGAGUGAGGACCUCGGCCAAAAAGAAGGCUCCUACCGUGGCUGUUUGCUGAUGGUCUUCGCAGAGCCUGCUGUCUUUGAGCUUCCUGAGAGAGGGACACUACCCUCGCUUAGGUGAGUGCUCCAGGUCCAUGGGGCCUGAUGCUCUGUCCCUGGUCUGGCUUCCGCCCAUGUAUACAUUUGCACUCUUGAUGGUGGCUUAGGAUCUGCUUCCAACAAGUCUGCCAAAUGUGCUCUGUAACACAGGGGGACCCUCCAAAUGUGCAUUGCUUUCUGUCAGUCUCAGGAAACCCAUUCCCUUCCCAGCCUAUCUCAGAAACGGAGAGUGGUGGCUCAGUGGCCUCUGGCUCUGGCACAGCCCCUUGAUGGGUCCACAGUGGCCCCUCUGCCCUUGGCUCUGUUGGCUUCCCAACAGAUGUUCCUCUUCACAUGUAGUCCUAAGAACUCAAUCAGUUUAAAAACAAAAAAACUAAAAAAGCAAACCAUGCUCAUUGCAAAUUAUACCAAAAUGAAAUGGACAGAUAGAAUGCAGUAAUUUCCUUAUCCCAUAGCCCUCCCCUCCCUAAAUCCUCUAUCACCCCAUGCCCUGCUCCUGCCCUAGUGAGCCAAAGUUCUUGCUGUCUUGAUGAUUUGCAACUCUCUGCAUGACUCUGCCUCUUGGGUUUGUUUAAUUAGAAAUAGGCUGGGAAGUGCUUCCUAUGCUCUGGCAUGUUAAUUGCUUAUCAGAGAAGGAGAAGGGGUGACGGCAUUUGGUGAUGGAAAUUUCCGCUCUCCCCAUCUCAGGUUCGUCUCCAUGGUUCUCUCCCACCCCUCUCCUUGCCUCCUGCGCUCUGCCUCCCUCCCUUCCUCACUCUGGUCGUUGUCACAGCCACAGAGACUCUUGGGGGCCAGAAGCAGGCCCAGGGGCCAGAAUUCAAACCGAAAAGGAAAAACUGUCCCCUCUUUCACUCUAUCCCUUUUCUUGUCCCUCUUCUCAUAUCCCAGCUGGCCCCCAUGCCCAUCACCCUCCAGGCUCUGAGGAGAGUCCAGAGCAGAGCUCCUUAACCACACUCAAUACUCAGAGGAUUAUUUUCCUUUCGUUCCUUUCCCCCGUAUUAUUGUUAUUAUUUAUUUUUAUUUUUUACAAAACAGGAGAAAAGAGUGAAUCGGGUUGGGGGAGGUGACACAUUUCUCCACAAAGGUACAAAAUUGCCUAUAGAAAGUCAGCUUCGGAAUGCCGAGCCCAGGCUGCUGAGAUGAGGCGUUCCUGGGCAUCCCUCUCCCAAAUGUCCUUCAGAUCUGGCUGGGGUCACUCCCACAUUGAGGGCAGCCCCCCGAGGUGAGAUGGAGUGGCCUCCUUCAGCCCUUGCCCAGGAGGCACAAGAGCAAGCAACUGAGACUGUACAGAGAAAGAGAAGAGGAAGGGGUGCAGCCCGGGGACACAGGUAGGGGACAGCCAAGCCAGGCCCAGGAGCCUCUGGGCAGAGAGAAGAUGGGGAGGCAGGAGGCUCUAGCCAAAGUCCCUCCUGUUCCUUGGAGAUGUUCCUCAGAAUGGCAGCAGAGGUGACCCUAGGAGGUAAGGGCAACUUUUUCGAGGCUGCAGAAGCACCCCCAGGGCCACAAAGCCCCAUCUGUCUUGGCCCAGCUGCCAGGCCUCAAGCACGUGGGUCCAUGUCCCUUUCCUGGCAGGGCAUCUGGCCCAGACUGCUUCUCUUUUGGUAAAAAGUAGUCCUAGUGAUUUCUCUACUGCUGAGAACAGGCUGAGCUUCAAGAAUUUUGAGACAAUGGUGGCAACAGUGUCUCCCCUUCUGAGGAUCUGGGCAGCUUCCUCCCUGGAUUCCAGGGCAGGACGAGGGGAGCAGACACAACCCGGACAGAAGGGGCACUCCAGCCCCAGAAAGCCCAGGCUGGAGGGAGAGGCCGCCUCCCACCCACACCCUUCCUGGGUUGGCCUGUGCCAAGGUGGGCCGCUAGCCCAGCUGCCAGGAGAAGGACAGCGAGAGCCAGGAUGGCAAUGAGCCCAGGACGGUCCCCUAAGGCUCUGUGGCAAGAAGUGGCCUCUUUGGUCCUGGCCCAUACACAAGCCAACUGGGUGUGGGCAUCAGCAAAGGCCACUUGCAGGCAGGCCCAGUACUCCGUGGCCUGAAGGAGGCGGGUAAUGUUGUAGCUGUGGGUUCCCCGAGGCAGGCGGGCCAGAGCUGUGGCCCCCUGGCCCCGGAGGGAGGAGGCACUGGACCAGGUGAGGUUGGUGGACACUGUGUUGGGUGGGGUGACCCAAGAUAGCAGGAUGUGAUAGGGGUGGGUCUCCUGCACCCGGAGCUCCAGCCCCUGUCCUUCGUCCCUGCCUGGCUGGAGGAGAGCACGGCCCACAACCACACUAACCGUCUUAGUGUCAGCCCCCACCAGGUUCUGGGCCACACAGGUGUAUAGCCCUGCCUCUUCUGCUGUCACCCUCCGCAGCUCCAGGGUCCCCUCGGGGUACACCCGGUACCUCCUGCCUGCAUGGGCAGGUGUCAGUCGAAGCCCAGCUGGAGUGACCCAGUAGAUCUCGGGUUCGGGUUCGGCCAGUGCCCGGCAAUGCAGCACCAUGCUCUCUCCACUGGCUACCUGGAGGCUUGGGGGGAAGCUUCGUGGGGAGAUGAGGGGCAAACAGUGGUCCGUCAUCUCCCGGAAGGGCACCUCACGGACCGGGAGGCGCUGGAGGUCCGGAGGCUCCGCACACAGGGUGGAUUGCGGCUCGAUGAAGCGGACACGGGUGCCCGUGGCAUUGGCCCAGCGGAUGACACAGUCACAGCGGAUGGGGUUGCCGUGGAGACCUACCUCCUGCAGGUUGGGCAGGGACUCCACCGUCUGCUGGUGCAAGGCACUGAGAGCGUUGUUGUUGAGCAUGAGGGUCUCCAUCUGGGGCAGGUGGUGGAAGGCGCGGGGGUGGAUGAAGGACAGCCGUGGGUUAUUGGUGAUGUCCAGCUUGGUCAGCUCGGGGAGGUUCACCAGGGCAAACUUGUCGAUGGAGACCAGCUCCUCCAUGUUGUUCAGUCCCAGCUCCUUAAGGUGCAGCAUGUUGGCAAAGUCCCCCGGCCCUACCCGCUGGAGCGGGUUCUUGUUGAGGUCUAGGAACUUGAGCCCGGGCACCUGUUCCAGUGCCCGCCUGGGCACCCGGGCCAGCUGGUUGUCAUAGAAGGAGAGGCUCUCCAGGCUUUGCAGCCCCUCCAGGGCAUAGUCGGAGAUCUCCCGCAGGUUCAUGCCUGCUAGCACCAGGCUACGCAGGUUGGCCAGGGGCCGGAAGUUCAUGUCCAGGAUGGCAUCUACCUUGUUGCCGCCAAUCAUGAGUAUCUCCAAGUUGGGCAGCAUUUCAAACCAGCGGCUGUCAAUGGCCCUCAGGAGGUUGGAGUUGAGGUGCAGCCGCAGCAAGUUGCUGAGGCCAGAAAAGGCCCUGGGGGCGAUGCGGUAGAGCUGGUUGUGGUUGAGAUAGAGUUCCUGUAGGCUGGCCAGCCCUGCAAAGCUGUGGUCCUCCAGCCGGGUCAGCUGGUUCUCCUCUAGGUGCAGGCUCAGCAGCUGGGGCAGGGCAUGGAAAUCACAGUCUCGGGCAUCCGAAAAGCUGUUCUGGGACAGGUCCAGCUCUGUGAGAUUGGCCAGGUAGCCCAGCUCACUCUGGUCCACACGGACAAUGCUGUUGCUCUGCAGGAGCAGGGUCUGUGUGCCUGCGGGGAGUGCCGGGGGGACUGCCGUCAGGAAUAGGUCAUUGCAGUCCACAGUGGUAGCCUCGCGGUAGGACGAGCGGGGCGUAUACCAGGGCCGGAUCUGGCAGGCACACUGAGGGGGGCAGGGAACAUGCCAGGGUACCACGGGCACAGCGGCAGUGGCACCAGCCACCCAAGCUAGCAAGAGUGGGGCCACGAGAAGCCUCAUGGUGGAGCUGCAGGGCAGGGGACCAUUCACAAGAAGAGUCUGGAGUCCUGCUCUUUGUGUUUUGCAGGGUAAGGGUCAGCAACCCUGCCAGGGCCCAAGGAACCACCCUCCCAGGGCAGUCAUUCUACACCGGGCGUCACUUCUUGCCCUCCUCAAUAUGCCUUCUCUUCCUUGUCCUCUGGGGCUGGGCCUGCUCAGUCAUUGCCAGGCCCCAUCAGGGGCAGCCCUGGAAGAAGAGGAUGCAGAGUUAAGGAGGUUGCAGAGAAGCAGUAUCUACCCCUCCUCCCGUGUUUGUUUGUUUGAGACAGAGUCUCAUUCUGUCACCCAGGCUGGAGUGCAGCGGUGCACUCAGCUGACUGCAUCCUCCGCCUCCUGGAUUCAAGCGAUUCUCCUGGCUCAGCCACCUGAGUAGCUGGGAUUACAGGCACCUGCCACCACUCCUGGCUAAUUUUUGUAUUUUUAGUAGAGAUGGGGGUUUCUCCAUGUUGGCCAGGCUGGUCUCGAACUCCUGACCUCAAGUGAUCUGCUCACCUCGGUCUCCCAAAAUGCUGGGAUUACAGGUGUGAGUCACCGUGCCUGGCCCCUCCCAUGUUUUUUGACUCAACAAGCCAAAGGAGCUGCAGAGGUAAUGGCCAGGCCUGUCCUUAAGGCUUUAGUGUCCUUUUCUAUGACCUGCUCACAGAGUGAGUGACUGUGAGUCUUCAGUGAAGGAGAGGAAGGUGUAUGUGUGUGUAUGUGUGUGUGUACAUGCACAUGUGUGUUUGGGAGGGAAGGAGAGUGGAUGGGCUGAAAUUAUUGUUAUCUUCAGAGUCCUUCUGAGCCCAGAGAGAUGUGAGGUAGGUUCUCUAACCUUUCUUACCUCUUUCCUCCCAGCCUCCUUGGCUCACUGGGUAAAUGGAAGAUAAAAUGAUAAGUUUCCAGAAGUUCCUCUGGCAGUGUAGGUGGGAGGUGGGUGAGGGUUGGUGGAAAUAAGUACAGCUUCUAAAAUCUGGGAUGGGCUCCCCAGGACCCUAGAGGUGAAAGGCAGCAGACCUGACACAUCCAGGCAGGCUGGGGUGUUCUGCUGCCCAGGAUCUUCUGGGUGGGGAUAUUGCUUUGGUGUUUGCCAACUUCCCCACCCUGGAGGCAGGAGUGUUUCUCCUUUCCCAACAGCCUGGCAGUGUUGCCCAGGAGGAGGCAGUGGAGUUAAGAAGCCUGGGUCUGAGCUCCUCAGCUGUGCAGACAACUCCUACUUGUUCUUCAACGCUCAACUUUAAGUUCAGUCACCACCUGCAGAAGUCUUCUCCAAAACCUCCCCACCUGGCUGACUAAGGGGCUGGCUUUAUGCUCUUGCAGUACUCAUGCUUCCUACUGUCACAGUUCUGACCACACCGUGGGAAAACGUCUCUAACUAGAGACCUGUCUUGCCUCUUGUGCCUGUAGUACGGGAUGGGUGCCCAGUGUGUGUUGAUUGUAUGAAUCAAUCUCUGUGACUCCAGAGUUCCUUUCUUCAGGAGAUUAGACAUCACCCCUGCAAUCAACAAUGCAAGCCACUGCUGUUUCCUCCAUCCUGAGCAUGAGGAACCUAUCCAGUUUCUCUCUCAGAUGCCAGGGCCAUGAGGCAAGUCCAGCCUUGGCCUAGAACCAAAGAUGGAAACAAAAAGGGGCCAGACUGUGUUGCCUUCUUGAGCCUGGUCUGACUCCUGAGUGGAAGUCUGAUUCCAGGUACAUGAGAUAAGCACUAAUACCUCCAGUUUGCAGAUUAAGAGACUGAGGUCCUGAAGAGGUUAAAGAACUUGGCUCAAGUCACAUAGCUGGUGAGCAGCAAGAUACAAGAAUCAACCCAAGUCCAGGGGGCUGUGUGCCGUUUACACUUCACAUCUGUGCUGCCAGGGCUGUAGCUAUAAAAGCUUGAAAACCAUUACUCUGAGAAUCUCUCUGUUGGGAAAAUGAGUCCCUUCAACUCUAGUUGUUGCCACUGGGAUGCUAACAGAAAGCAAAGUCUCAGAGGAAAGAUGUGGCAUUCCUGAGUGUCUUCCAUGUACCAGGACUUCUAUUUGCUAGCCACUUUAUGUUCCUCAUCCCAUCCUUCUGUGAGGGACAUACUUUUCAGAUGAGAAACGUAAGCUCCGCGAAGCUAAGGGGCCGGACUGAGGUCCCACAGCGAGAGUGUGGAGGAGCCAGGAUCCGAACCCCAUCGCCAGCCCUUGCCAGUUCCAUGAUUCCGGUGCCAGCGCUCGCCUGACCUCCAGGGCUGUCAUGGUGGGAAGGGACUGGAGGGCAUCUGCUGGGCAAAGGAAAGAGACAAACAUCAUCCCAGAGCCUGUCUUCCCUGGGCAAUACCCGGGCCACUCCAGACAUGGCGUCUUUAGCCCUUCCUUGGUCACUGGCCCCCAGGUGAAGAGAGCAUUUUUCUCUGACUCAAGUUCUUGCCUCUGGAUUUGCCAAGCUCCUAUGACAGUCUUCGCCCUUCUGAAGCUCUCUCAGGCUCCCCUUCCAGAAAUCCCGCAGGUUCCACCGACCUCUCUGAGAGCACAGGCGAGUGGUUGAACGGUGGGCUUUAGAGACGGCGCGGCACCAGAGUCCUGUACUGGCUGUGUGAUCCUGAACCUCCUCACUGAGAUUCUCAUCUGCAAGAUGGAGACAGACCUGCCUCAUAGCGAGGGGGAAUCUGAAAAAGAUGUCUAGAGAGUGCCCGGUGCUCAUUAGAGUGUCCUGCCCUUUUUAUCCACUUCGAUUUGUUGGAGGCACAUUUCCCUGGGGGCGCUUCGAGACCAUCUUUGUACUAGGCCAGCCUGAUGCUGGCCUAUCAGGGUACUUGGUCUCUAAGGCAGGCAACCUCUUCCUUGGAACCUUCCCAGUGCAGGUGACACUCCUUCCUAACGGAGCUGCCCUGUCCGAUGUCAACUAUAAGCACUCCCUGCAGUCUCCAACCGGGGUCCUAGUUCUAGUCUUCCGGACAGCUCUAGGACUCAGUUCAUUUAAAGAUCAUUGGUGUUGGACACAACUCUCACCCAAUAAACAACUCAGCACCAGCUCCUCCUGGCUUAGGGGAGCAGCUCCUCUGCUUCCCCACAUGCUCUCCAGAAGGGUCAAGAGCGCCCCUCCCAGAAGAGUUCUAAAUGUCCCAGCUGAUGGCCUCCCAUAGACAUUCCAUGCUGGCCACAGUUGCAGGCCUCAGAUGGGCAGCCAAGCCCAGUGCUGACCCAUGAGCUUCUCCACCUCUCUGCGUCAGGAGUCAGGUGGGGGUGCUGAACAGACCCUGUAGCAUGGCUCCUCUAGCAGUCUGGGCCCCAGGACAUCCCUUUAGCCCCAGUGGAUCCCUGGGACAGAGGCAAGGGCGGGGGGAAGGGGAGGGAAGACCCAAGAGCAAUACAAGUGAUAGUCUCUCCUGUCCCAUGCCUUCACACAUGCAGGGACCUUGCCACAAGUCCCCUUCCUCACCUGCAUAUCUGGGGAAUUCCUUUCCAUCUCUGAAGUCAUAGUUUAUGCUGCACCCCUAUGUGGUCUUUCCUGACGACCAGGCUCUACCACCAACUCAAAAUAAUCAGUCCCUUGCUCCUUCCUCCACCCUCAAGGAUCCACAUCCACAAAGAAAAUGUGCUACAUAUACACUGAUAUGGUUUGGCUGUGUCCCCACCCAAAUCGCCUCUUGAAUUGUACUCCCAUAAUUCCCGCGUGUUGUGGGAGGGAGAUAAUUUGAAUCAUGGGGGCAGUUUCCCCCAUACUAUUGUUGUGGUAGUGAAUAAGUCUCACAAGAUCUGAUGGUUUUAUCAGGGAUUUCUGCUUUUGCAUCUUCCUCAUUUUCUCUUGCCGCCACCAUGUAAGAAGUGCCUUUCACCUCCUGCCAUGAUUCUGAGGCCUCCCCAGCCAUGUGGAACUAUAAGUCCAAUUAAACCUCUUUUUCUUCCCGGUCUCA